rnacentral:snoRNA from 1 species
UCCAAAAGAUGAAUAAUAAAAAGUUAAUGACAAGCAUAUGUCUGAAUCUUUAAAGAAGAGAAGCUUUUUCAUGUCUGAUGGU